rnacentral:ncRNA from 1 species
GAAAGCCGUAUACUUUGGAAGAAGCUUGUACAGUUUGUGAAGGGGUUUUGAUGGAACAAAAGAAGAAUCUACUUUAAC